rnacentral:rRNA from 1 species
UAACUGAAGAGUUUGAUCAUGGCUCAGAUUGAACGCUGGCGGCAGGCUUAACACAUGCAAGUCGAGCGGGGGAAGGUAGCUUGCUACCGGACCUAGCGGCGGACGGGUGAGUAAUGCUUAGGAAUCUGCCUAUUAGUGGGGGACAACAUCUCGAAAGGGAUGCUAAUACCGCAUACGUCCUACGGGAGAAAGCAGGGGAUCUUCGGACCUUGCGCUAAUAGAUGAGCCUAAGUCGGAUUAGCUAGUUGGUGGGGUAAAGGCCUACCAAGGCGACGAUCUGUAGCGGGUCUGAGAGGAUGAUCCGCCACACUGGGACUGAGACACGGCCCAGACUCCUACGGGAGGCAGCAGUGGGGAAUAUUGGACAAUGGGCGCAAGCCUGAUCCAGCCAUGCCGCGUGUGUGAAGAAGGCCUUAUGGUUGUAAAGCACUUUAAGCGAGGAGGAGGCUACUUUAGAUAAUACCUAGAGAUAGUGGACGUUACUCGCAGAAUAAGCACCGGCUAACUCUGUGCCAGCAGCCGCGGUAAUACAGAGGGUGCAAGCGUUAAUCGGAUUUACUGGGCGUAAAGCGCGCGUAGGCGGCUAAUUAAGUCAAAUGUGAAAUCCCCGAGCUUAACUUGGGAAUUGCAUUCGAUACUGGUUAGCUAGAGUGUGGGAGAGGAUGGUAGAAUUCCAGGUGUAGCGGUGAAAUGCGUAGAGAUCUGGAGGAAUACCGAUGGCGAAGGCAGCCAUCUGGCCUAACACUGACGCUGAGGUGCGAAAGCAUGGGGAGCAAACAGGAUUAGAUACCCUGGUAGUCCAUGCCGUAAACGAUGUCUACUAGCCGUUGGGGCCUUUGAGGCUUUAGUGGCGCAGCUAACGCGAUAAGUAGACCGCCUGGGGAGUACGGUCGCAAGACUAAAACUCAAAUGAAUUGACGGGGGCCCGCACAAGCGGUGGAGCAUGUGGUUUAAUUCGAUGCAACGCGAAGAACCUUACCUGGCCUUGACAUAGUAAGAACUUUCCAGAGAUGGAUUGGUGCCUUCGGGAACUUACAUACAGGUGCUGCAUGGCUGUCGUCAGCUCGUGUCGUGAGAUGUUGGGUUAAGUCCCGCAACGAGCGCAACCCUUUUCCUUAUUUGCCAGCGAGUAAUGUCGGGAACUUUAAGGAUACUGCCAGUGACAAACUGGAGGAAGGCGGGGACGACGUCAAGUCAUCAUGGCCCUUACGGCCAGGGCUACACACGUGCUACAAUGGU